GAUUUUCAGAAAAUGUAGGACUAUCUUUCGUUUUUCCUCUCUUUUACUAUGAUGAUUUUCCUGCUGUGAAGCUUUUCUUGUAUAAAGCUCAAUUUCUCUCUGACCACGGAAGUAAACAUCCUGAUGCAUUCUUGUCAUGUGAAUGUUGAGAGCGUGUUCAUUUUUGAAAUCUCCUUUCUGACAGACCUAUUCCACAGGAUCAGCUGAGAUGUUAUUUCACUGGAUUAUUUAAUGGAUAGGCUUAUUGGGCAUAUAUUUGGAUAUCUCUGUAAUGAGCUUUUCAAAAAAUGAAGGACUACAUGUUGUACUGUGAUGAUGCUAAAAAAAAAAUGUAUUUUUCUGUAUGCAGUACUGACAGUCAUCAACAUGGAAGAUAAGUUUUGUUCCUAACCAUCUAUAAUCAAUUCUCUAUGAAGUUCAGACUGUCUGCCCUUCCUUUGGAAAUACACAGUUAGUCAACCAACAUAGAAACACACAAACUUGAAGGAUUCUCUAGUGAGGGCUUAUGGAAAUGAUCUAUGUCUACUCUUAGAAUGGUGAAAGACUAUCAGAUUAUGCAAAGACUAACAGAAUAUCCUCUCUUGGAACACUGAAACAAGAAAACCAAACUUAAGAGGAUGGUGGAUUUAAGAAGAACAUAGAUAAAUAUGAUUUCCAACGAAUUUAACCAGUACGAUCAUAGACUGUGGUUAACAGGAUGACAAAGAAAGGACCCAGGAUUGUAUCUUUCACUGUCAGACACUGACUAUGGAUAAAGUGUAAUCAUUUAUCAAACUGAGAUCUAGUCAAAUCAAGUAUUGAAAAUAUGAUUUUCUGAUAGCAUGAGCUCUUUAAAAACUAAUUCUCACGGACCUCAAAGUAUCUGAAUGUGACUUUUAUUUUUACCAAUUCAUAUUGAAGACUGUUGUUAUGUAUGGGAAUUACACAUUUAAACCUUUUAUUUUUCAUCUAAUUUUUACAACCCCUAUAAAUUACACAGAUAUCCUGAUGCUGGAUUUAAUGUUAUUAUUUAACUUUCCUGGAAUUGUAAAUAUAUUUUGUUUGUGUAUGUAUCAUGUUUAAUUUUGAAUUUAAAAUUGGUCUCAAUAAGACCCCCAAUAAAGAUGCAACUGUCUUAUAAUCUGUGGUUUAAUAAUAUCUUGAAUAUCUUUAUCAUACCAUAUUCAUCAUACUAAUUACAUAUAGAAUGGUUGUAGGAAUACACUUAGUUUUAUAGGACACUUUGUCAGGGUCAAAGCAUGAGAUAAUUGAGAUAACUACCUUUGACAAUAAUUUGUAACCUGCAAAAUUCACAUCAUAAGUAAAGAAAGAUUCGGAGAUUUUCUAUAGAUUUUUGGAUCAUUUUCUCCUGGAUAAAAUUUAGUUGUUGUAACUUUAACAUUUUGUGAUAACCUAAAGACUUUAUAUCAGCUCUAUUGGGUGGCAUAGCAUAUUCUUUGGAAAGAAUUGAAAUGUUAAUCAUAUGCACUAUGUUCAAGGAUGUUUAAAGACUAUUACUAUGUAAUACCUUAGAAUUCUGUAAAAAUUUUAUUAUCACUGCGUAGAUAAAGACUGGUUAGGAUAAUUUAUGUUUUGAAAUAAGGUUUAGGGAAAAAAGUCAAGAAUGUGGAUAUGACUUUUAUUCAUAUGGUGCAGUACAGCAACUCUGGUGAUUUACAUACCUUCAGUCAUGAAUACAU